AUGGUGUGUGACCACUGUAAAAAACCAGGCCAUUUGAAGAAGAGUUGUUUUGAUAUAGUUGGUUAUCCUCCUGGAUGGCAACCGAAACAAUUUAACAGAUUCACUAGUGGCGGUAGUAAUGCAAGAGGACCAGAUCGAGCUCAUCUUACUUUAUUUGGGGGAGAACGGUCUGCUGUAACAGCCCAAGCACUUCAAGAAUUUAAAGGCAAACUUAUGGCAAAUACUUCAGAAGGCCCUGCUGAAGCUACAUCUGAUGCUCAUUCUGGGAAAGGGUCUGAAGACAAGAAGAAAUCUUGGGACUAG
rnacentral:rRNA from 1 species